CGUGUAGGCGGCCGAUUAAGUCUGGAGUGAAAGUCCACUUUUCAAGGGUGGAAUUGCUUUGGAUACUGAUUGGCUUGAGUGCGGAAGAGGUAAGUGGAAUUCCCAGUGUAGCGGUGAAAUGCGUAGAGAUUGGGAGGAACACCAGUGGCGAAGGCGACUUACUGGGCCGUAACUGACGCUGAGGCGCGAAAGCGUGGGGAGCAAACA
rnacentral:rRNA from 1 species